AUACGGAGGAUCCGAGCGUUAUCCGGAUUUAUUGGGUUUAAAGGGUGCGCAGGCGGCCAUUUAAGUCAGCGGUUAAAUCGUGGGGCUCAACCCCAUUCUGCCGUUGAUACUGGGUGGCUUGAUUGCGGUCGAGGUUGGCGGAAUUCGUUGCGUAGCGGUGAAAUGCAUAGAUAUGACGAAGAACACCGAUUGCGUAGGCAGCUGACCAGACCGCAAAUGACGCUCAUGCACGAAAGUGCGGGGAUCGAACAGGAUUAGAUACCCUGGUAGUCCACGCCGUAAACGAUGAAUACUUGUUUUCGGCGAUAUAAUGUCGGAGGCAAAGCGAAAGCGAUAAGUAUUCCACCUGGGGAGUACGCCGGCAACGGUGAAACUCAAAUGAAUUGACGGGG
rnacentral:rRNA from 1 species